GGUCACGUCGUCUAGCGGUUAGGACUCUAGGUUUUCAUCCUAGCAAUCGCGGGUUCGAAUCCCGCCGUGAUCACCA
rnacentral:tRNA from 1 species